GUGUCAGCCGCCGCGGUAAGACAGAGGUGCCGAGCGUUAGGCGGAAUCACUGGGCUUAAAGCGUGUGUAGGCGGGUUGACAAGUACCUUGUGAAAUCCCACGGCUUAACCGUGGAACUGCUUGGUAUACUGUCAGUCUUGAGGCAUCUAGAGGCAACUGGAACAAACGGUGGAGCGGUGAAAUGCGUAGACAUCGUUUGGAACGCCCAUGGUGAAAACAGGUUGCUGGGGAUGUACUGACGCUGAGACACGAAAGCCAGGGGAGCAAACGGGAUUAGAAACCCUCGUAGUCC
rnacentral:rRNA from 1 species